AAAACAUGGCUGAUGCAAGCCUUUAAGGAUGCUGCAUACCCAUGUCUCUUCUCACUAAUAGAACUGAGCUCCCAGUCAGCCUCUUCCACCUGACCCAGUGACCAUGAGGCGUGACCACAGGUGCCUGCUCUCUGGACAUCAGAACCAGACAUGGAAACGAGUCUUCAUGCAGAGUACGGAAUUUGGAACCAGAAGUAAUUCUAGAUGAACGCUGGUGACAAGAAAGUCUGGGGAAGAGGUAUUUGAGUAGACCUCAGUAAAUGGGCAGAAAACAUAUAUAAAUUUGUUUCCAAGACAAGCGCUCACCAAAGAGCAAGGAGGAUCUUCAUAAUCAAGUGGAUAAAAUGACAGGUCCUGUGGACGUUAGUCACCCCAUUCUUCUUCCCAUGGGCUCAUGGAAAAAGUGGCUAGGAUAUUAGAGAUGGUCGUUCUUUGGCUCAACAAGUUUUUUCUACUUACCAAGGCCAAUUGGCUACAUUCACUGCUAAGUAUCUGAUCUUCCAAUAACAAAUAUCAACACUGAGUCCUAGUUAGGGUAACAUUCUCUAAGUGGAUAAACCAGACGCCUGGUAGAAACUUGGUUAUAGAGGACCAUUUCCAUCAUGGAAGGGGCAGCAGUUUGCUUUCAUUGGAAUAUGGAUUUCCUGUCUCUGCUCAUAAUGCUUCUGCUAAAAUCAACAUCCCAGGACUUAUGGAAUAUUUUGUUCACUGUCAUGGUAUUUCAUACACCCUUGAUUCUAAUCAAGUCAUUCAUUUAAAGCCAGUGAAGUAUGGUAGUGUGCCCAUGCUCAUGGAAUUCACUGAUCUUACCAUGUUCCCCAGAACCCUGAAGCAGCUUGUCUUAUAGAUUGGUGGAAUGGCUUUUGAAGUCUCAGAAACAGUGCUAGCUGGGUGACAACACCUAGCAGGACUAGGAAAUGUCAUGCAGGAUGUUACAUGCUCUAAAUCGGUGACCAAUAUAUAGUGCUUUUUCUAUUAUAGACAAGAUCCAUAGAGUUUGUUAUAAGAAAUGUCCACAGAAGUGAAUCUUCUAUGACCACAAGUGCUAGGUUAGAAAAAUUUUUGCUUCCCCUCCCUGCAACUUUGGGCUCUGCUGGUCUAGAAGGUAGUUCUCAAGUAAAGACGGUUUUACCAGAAGACACAACAAUAGCUCAAUCAAAUAAUUAAAAUGGAAGUUGAGUCUCUUUUCUGGACACUUUGGGCUUUAAUAUCAGUAAUAAAUAGGCAAAGAACAGGGUUACGUGUACUGGCUGCAAUAAUUGAUUCUGAUUAUCAAAGGGGAAUUAGGUUGCUACUUCACAGUGGGGGUAAGCAAGACUCUGGAAUGCGAACGGUUCCUCUGGGAUGCCUCUUAGUAGUCUCAUGCCCUAUGAUUAAAGCCAAUGGGAAACCAAGCAACCCAAUGCAGUCAAGAUUGCUAAUGGUGUAGACUCUUUAGGAGCAAAGAUUUGGGUCACUUCUCUAGGCAAGGAACCACUGUCAACUAAGGUGCUUGCUUAAGGCCAUAGGAAUAAAGAACAAAUAGUGGAAUAAAGCAGUAAAAAAUAUCAGCUGCGACUGUGGGAUUAAUUUCAGAAAUGUGAGACAUUUUUGCAAAUCGUGACCAGGCUUGAUUUUUCUCAGAUAGGCUUGUUCAUGCAUCUGUGAUCAGCUGGCAGUUUGGUUAGGACAUGAGGCUCUGCUCCAUAUGGACGUUCAUCCUCCAGCAGCCUAUUUCACCUUGUUAUCCUAGCAAUAGCAGGAUUCCAAGUUGAACAAGAGAGAGACUAGAAGAGUGUAGGGCCACAUUAUGAUUUUAGCUGGUGUAGACUCAGAGCAGGUAGGGACUACCAAGUUUUAAGACAAAAGGUGUAAAUACAAGGGGGCCCUUCAUUGUGCCUGUUAAUGCAUUUAGUCUACCAUGGAACUCUUAUAGCAUGUGGAGGACACUAGGAUGCUGAUAAAUGUGUCAUCCUAGCAGAAAGUCUGAAAAAAUUUGUUAAAUCCUUAGCUCCUGACACCACACUUUACCUGCUUAGAACUUGCGUCUUAUUUCUUUCUUUGUUACUAAGAAUUCAACCAAAUUUUUCCAGUGUCACCUUUGCAACUCCAAUUGUAUUACUUUAUGGUGUCUGCUUUUGACUGCAUUUUACUUAUUACCCCGGUAGUGACAACAGGAAGUCUGGGAAUAUUUGGGGUAUCCCAUAAACUGUAUCAGCCUCCUCAAAGCCACUUCAAAUAAACAUACAAUCUAAAUAAAUUUUGUGUAGAUUCUAUCCAAAUGCAUCCUCAAAGUCAAUCUCUAACCCUUUUUCCGUUUAUCAGAUUUGAACCAUGUGAACUUGCCAACUUUCAACCUUUUUUGACCUGCAAAAGUGGUGAUGUCGGAUAGUCGAACUAACAGAUUACUGAAAAUUUUGGUUUUCCCCCUUUGUCACAGUGUCUUCAAGACAUCUCUUGGCAUUUAACACCACCUUGGACCACCCAUCUUUACAUACUCCUUUCAGAAACAGUUCUCCUCAUACCUGGCCUACUUAGUGGGACAGCUCAGACAUUUAGGAGAUUGAAACAUUCCCAUUGAAAUCAAAAUGCAACAAGAGGAAGCUAGUAAGCGAAGAAGGGGCUAAAGUGUCAUUCUUUCUCUUGCAAAAAUGUCAA